rnacentral:rRNA from 1 species
GACGAACGCUGGCGGCGUGCUUAACACAUGCAAGUCGAACGAUGAAGCCGGAGCUUGCUCUGGUGAAUUAGUGGCGAACGGGUGAGUAACACGUGAGUAACCUGCCCUUGACUCUGGGAUAACUGCGGGAAACUGUAGCUAAUACCGGAUACGACCCUCGGAGGCAUCUCCUGGGGGGGGAAAGAAUUUCGGUCAAGGAUGGACUCGCGGCCUAUCAGGUAGUUGGUGAGGUAAAGGAUCACCAAGGCGACGACGGGUAGCCGGCCUGAGAGGUUGACCGGCCACACUGGGACUGAGACACGCCCCAGACUCCUACGGGGGGCAGCGGUGGGGAAUAUUGCACAAUGGGCGCAAGCCUGAUGCAGCAACGCCGCGUGAGGGAUAACGGCCUUCGGGUUGUAAACCUCUUUUAGCAGGGAAGAAGCGAAAGUGACGGUACCUGCAGAAAAAGCACCGGCUAACUACGUGCCAGCAGCCGCCGUAA